rnacentral:rRNA from 1 species
CAGCAGCCGCGGUAAUACAGAGGGUGCAAGCGUUAAUCGGAAUUACUGGGCGUAAAGCGCGCGUAGGUGGUUUGUUAAGUUGGAUGUGAAAUCCCCGGGCUCAACCUGGGAACUGCAUCCAAAACUGGCAAGCUAGAGUAUGGUAGAGGGUGGUGGAAUUUCCUGUGUAGCGGUGAAAUGCGUAGAUAUAGGAAGGAACACCAGUGGCGAAGGCGACCACCUGGACUGAUACUGACACUGAGGUGCGAAAGCGUGGGGAGCAAACAGGAUUAGAUACCCGGGUAGUCCCUGUCUCUUAUAA